GCAUUUUAUGCCUCCUUUUAGAGGAUCUGUAGGUGGUGGGGUUGGGUUGCAGAAUGAUCAUUGCAAUAAUUGCUGUCACUGCUGUAGGAGUAUCAUGAGUACUUAGGAGAUGAAUUCUCUGAUGUGUGGACCAGAUGUGUUCUUGGUGGGAGAUAUAACAGCUGAUUUUAUUUGUUUCAUUGUUGUUUUGUAGGGGGGGUUUGGAGGGAGGAGAAUGAUUCCAAAAUUGAAAGCACUGAGAAGCUGUAACUUAGUGAUCAAGUGUCUGGUCACUUUAAGAAAGUGAAAUGUCUGACUAAAAACAAAAACAUUUUGGCUGGUGCAAUAGGGCACCAGGGUCAUGAUAUCCUGAUAAGUGUCUAACAUUCAGCUCUCUGGAAAAAGAUCCUGAUUUGUAGGGUGUGUGUGUGUGUGUGUGUGUGUGUGUGUGUGUGUGUGUGGUGGAAUCCCUCAUUAUAAAUGAAAGUGGUUUAGGUCUGAGAUACAGUCCAAUAGCCCAUGGUCUUGGGGACAUGUGCACAUUGGGAGGUCAGGAAACUAGCAUCUCUGGUCUGUCUUUGACUUACACAUGCAUUGUUGCAGGUAGUUAACAUUCUGAGCAUGUGUUGGUGGGUGCAAGGUCAUUGUGAGUUUUGUUGACCAUGUGAAUUGCUCUGAGGACUGGCUCAGAUGGCGUCAGGAAUUAUAUGUCUUUGUAGCCAGUGACAUUGUAUAUUGUGUCCUGUCCUUACAGAACAAGGUACCAACUUUUUUUGUGCUUCUAGGGACACCAGGAGGCACUCAUAUGCCUCCUACUGUUAAGCAUUUGUUCAGUGGUAACAUCACACUGCUUCUAUUAGCUGCUAUGGGGCUGUAGACCAAUAUUGGGAUUUGCAUCUAGAUAUGCUUGUGGUAAUAAGCAUAUUACCUGCCUAAUAAGCUACUUUUGUUUCUGAGAAAGAACAUUUGUAUGGCAAUCUGUGGACAAAGGGUGAAACCUGACUGCCAGCACGCACUGAAUUCUUAGGGUUCCUAAGCUGUUCAAGUGACAGAGGAAGGUCUUAACACUUGUUCAAGGAGCGCCAGGCUCCUUGGAAGAAUGCCUCUAUGCCUUAAAGGUGCUAUCAUUGGCCACAGGUGUUCCCAUACACUGGAAUUGACUGUGGGUGAGACCCAUUUUUAGAGAAACAGGGUACAGAAGAGGCCAUUCAAAUUCCUGGAUAGAAUAUUAAACGUGUCCAUGCUGAGGGCAAACCAACGAGGAGCUUCAUCAAAACCCACCACAAGUGUUUGCACUUAUCCUUUAAAAUAGAAAGUUUGGGAAACCAUGACCUCCAGGUUCAAGCGAAUCCCCCUUCCUGUUUUGGGUAAGUUUUACUGCAACUGGGCCAUGCCCACUCAUUUGCAUAUUGUCUAUAGCUGAUUCAUGCUGCUACAACUUGUGACAGAGACUGUGUAGCCUGCAAAGCCAGCAACCCUUUCUUACUGAUCCUUUACAGAAGGUUGUUUCAGAGUCCCUCCUGUUUCUCUGCUCCACUGUCCCACAUUUUCACUUUCCUGAUUUUUCUACUUUUGCAGUGGCAAUUAAGCAGUGCAAUAGUGGUGUUAGCUUACACUCAGGUAGGAAUCACAUCACAGUGUAUAAAUGCAUCCCGUCAAUGAAUUGUACCCCUUAACUUUACAAAACGUUACAUUUCAAUUAUAUUUCAGUUAAAAAAAAAAA
ensembl:lncRNA